AGUGAACGCUGGCGGUAGGCCUAACACAUGCAAGUCGAACGGCAGCACAGUAAGAGCUUGCUCUUACGGGUGGCGAGUGGCGGACGGGUGAGGAAUACAUCGGAAUCUACUUUUUCGUGGGGGAUAACGUAGGGAAACUUACGCUAAUACCGCAUACGACCUACGGGUGAAAGCAGGGGAUCUUCGGACCUUGCGCGAUUGAAUGAGCCGAUGUCGGAUUGGCUAGUUGGCGGGGUAAAGGCCCACCAAGGCGACGAUCCGUAGCUGGUCUGAGAGGAUGAUCGGCCACACUGGAACUGAGACACGGUCCAGACUCCUACGGGAGGCAGCAGUGGGGAAUAUUGGACAAUGGGCGCAAGCCUGAUCCAGCCAGACCGCGUGGGUGAAGAAGGCCUUCGGGUUGUAAAGCCCUUUUGUUGGGAAAGAAAAGCAGCAGGUUAAUACCCCGCUGUUCUGACGGUACCCAAAGAAUAAGCACCGGCUAACUUCGUG
rnacentral:rRNA from 1 species